GACGAACGCUGGCGGCAUGCCUAACACAUGCAAGUCGAACGAGACCUUCCGGUCUAGUUGCGCUCCGGUGCGUAACGCCGGGGGACCUACACUUGGGUUCGCAAUAACUCCCCUAAAGGGAUCUUCAUACCGGAUAAUGUCUUCGCACCAAGGAUUUUUCGCCUUUGGAUGGGCCCGCGUUGGUUUCGCCGGUUGGUAGGGUAAAAGCAUCCCAUGGACACGAUGCUGAGCUGGUCGGAGAGGAUGAUCAUCCACACUGGGAAUGAGACACGGCCCAGACGCCUACGGGAGGGAGCAGUGGAGAAUAUUGGACAAGGGGGGAAAGCCUGAUCCAGCAAUGCGGCGUGAGAGAUGAAGGCCUUAGGGUUGUAAAGCUCUUUUACACGAGAUGAUAAUGACGGUACCGGGAGAAUAAGCACCGGCUAACUCCGUG
rnacentral:rRNA from 1 species